UACGGAGGGUGCAAGCGUUAUCCGGAUUCACUGGGUUUAAAGGGUGCGGAGGUGGGCAGGUAAGUCAGUGGUGAAAUCUCCGGGCUUAACCCGGAAACUGCCGUUGAUACUAUUUGUCUUGAAUAUUGUGGAGGUAAGCGGAAUAUGUCAUGUAGCGGUGAAAUGCUUAGAUAUGACAUAGAACACCAAUUGCGAAGGCAGCUUACUACACAAUGAUUGACACUGAGGCACGAAAGCGUGGGGAUCAAACAGGA
rnacentral:rRNA from 1 species